rnacentral:lncRNA from 1 species
AUGUGGUGGCUGCUCCGUGCCUGGGCCUCCCCACCAGCUGCCCCGGGGGACCGCGGGCACGUCCCUCGGGCCUCACCCCUGCGCUCUCCCCACCUGGACCUGGGCCAUGGCCCACGGGGGCCCUUGACCCCGCAGCGCCCUGUCCUCCCCCUGCAGGGCCCCCCCCACAGUGCCCUGUCCUCCCCCUGCAGGCCCCCCCGGAUCGCCCUGUCCUCCCCCUGCAGGCCCCCCCUGCAGUGCCCUGUCCUUCCCCUGCAGGCCCCCUCGCAGCACCUUGUCCUCCCCCUGCAGGCCCCCACCGCAGCGCCCUGUCCUCCCCCUGCAGGGCCCCCCCCGCAGCGCCCUGUCCUCCCCCUGCAGGCCCCCCCACAGCGCCCUGUCCUCCCCCUGCAGGGCCCCCCGCAGCGCCCUGUCCUCCCCCUGCAGGCCCCCUCGCAGCACCUUGUCCUCCCCCUGCAGGCCCCCCCGCAGCUCCCUGUCUUCCCCCUGCAAGCCCCCCCUGCAGCACCCUGUCCUCCCCCUGCAGGCCCCCACCGCAGCGCCCUGUCCUCCCCCUGCAGGGCUCCCCCCGCAGCGCCCUGUCCUCCCCCUGCAGGCCCCCCCUGCAGCACCCUGUCCUCCCCCUGCAGGGCCCCCCCGCAGCACCCUGUCCUCCCCCUGCAGGCCCCCUCACAGCACCUUGUCCUUCCCCUGCAGGGCCCCCCGCAGCUCCCUGUCCUCCCCCUGCAGGACCCCCUGCAGCACCCUGUCCUCCCCCUGCGGGCCCCCUCGCAGCACCUUGUCCUCCCCCUGCAGGCCCCCCCGCAGCGCCCUGUCCUCCCCCUGCAGGCCCCCCCCGCAGCACCCUGUCCUCUCCCUGCAGGCCCCCUCGCAGCACCUUGUCCUCCCCCUGCAGGCCCCCACCGCAGCGCCCUGUCCUCCCCCUGCAGGGCCCCCCCCGCAGCGCCCUGUCCUCCCCCUGCAGGCCCCCCCGGCCAUGCCCUGUCCUCCCCCUGCAGGCCCCCCCUGCCAUGCCCUGUCCUCCCCCUGCAGGCCCCCCCCACAGCGCCCUGUCCUCCCCCUGCAGGCCCCCCCCGCAGCGCUCUGUUCUCCCCCUGCAGGCCCCCCCUGCAGCGCCCUGUCCUCCCCCUGCAGGCCCCCCCCCAGCAGUGCCCUGUCCUACCCCUCAGGGCUCACGGCCCAGCUCCGUGGGUGACUGUGUGGAGGGCUGUGUUCCCCGAAAUGCUCCGAGCUCCGGGGAGCAGGGCCCAGGGACUUCCAGGGGAGCCAUCGCCAACUCCUCCGAAGGGAGAGGACAAAGUGGCAUUUGCGCAGCAAACUGAGGGUCAGUUGUGCACCCCCAGGUGGGGUGUUGGAUCGGGGCGGUGGGAGGGCGCAGGUCCCCCCGACCGGCCUGGUUCGCUCAGCAGCGUCUCCCCAGCUCCCAGGCCGCACUGGCCCAGGUGCUGGCACGCUCAGCCAAGGGGAGGCGCUCUCUCCAGAACACGCCAAUCUCCCCACAUGCUGAGGACGACCGGCCCUGCCCUAGUCCCGGCCCCGGCCCCCUGA